rnacentral:lncRNA from 1 species
GCGUGCUGGCAGGAUAUGAAAGCAUCUUCGGUUGUGUGUCAAGAAUUCUGCAUACAGUAGCACAUUUGUAUGAAGGUGUGGUUAAUCACAGGAAGUCAGCGCGGACACCUACAAAAAUGGCAUCUCAGGUUAUAUCAGCCUCCCACAUCUGAACUGGCUGACACAGAGGGCACAGCAUGAUCAUAGGUGAGAUGUCACUUGGUGGGGUCGACAGAGAUGUAGUAGUCCCAGUUAAUGAUCCAAGGUAUGUUUUGAUGUGAGAGAGGAAGCCAGUCCCGUCAUCGCCACCUCACCCGCUCUUAAGAUAACCUUCGGGCCAACUGAGGGCCCAAGGCUGGUUAGGAGACACCGUAAUUGUGAUGAACUGAGAGAAUAUUAGGGUAGCACUGUAAUUCAUGAAUCAUAUGCUGUCUGACGCUGUUCUUACCUCUUUACCUUUCUGUCUUCUACACCUCUCUCCACACCUCGUCUUUCUUCCUCAUUUUACAAUGCACACCAUAUGUGCAUUGAAGUACAGAUUGAACUUAUAUUUAUAAUAUAACAUUACAAUUAUAUAUUUACUUGCUUAUUGUGUAGUGGAGGAUAAAAAUAACUGUAUGCCUAUGAAUGUGUAGCUAGCUACAGUAUGUAGCCGAUCUGUGUAUGGACCCUAAAACAUUAGGUUCUGAACUAAUAUUCAUACCAAUCUAUUAACCUCAGCUAUCAUAGUUGUUGUAUCAACUUACAUUUAACAUUUUAGUCAUUUAGCAGACGCUCUUAUCCAGAGCGACUUACAGUAGUGAAUGCAUACAUGUGAAAUGCUGUAUUGAAAGAAGUUCAUUAUCCAG